rnacentral:rRNA from 1 species
CUAGCUUGCUAGAUUGAUGGCGAGUGGCGAACGGGUGAGUAAUACAUCGGAACGUGCCCUGUAGUGGGGGAUAACUAGUCGAAAGAUUAGCUAAUACCGCAUACGACCUGAGGGUGAAAGUGGGGGACCGCAAGGCCUCAUGCUAUAGGAGCGGCCGAUGUCUGAUUAGCUAGUUGGUGAGGUAAAGGCUCACCAAGGCGACGAUCAGUAGCUGGUCUGAGAGGACGAUCAGCCACACUGGGACUGAGACACGGCCCAGACUCCUACGGGAGGCAGCAGUGGAGAAUUUUGGACAAUGGGCGAAAGCCUGAUCCAGCAAUGCCGCGUGUGUGAAGAAGGCCUUCGGGUUGUAAAGCACUUUUGUCCGGAAAGAAAUGGCUCUGGUUAAUACCUGGGGUCGAUGACGGUACCGGAAGAAUAAGGACCGGCUAACUACGUGCCAGCAGCCGCGGUAAUACGUAGGGUCCAAGCGUUAAUCGGAAUUACUGGGCGUAAAGCGUGCGCAGGCGGUUGUGCAAGACCGAUGUGAAAUCCCCGAGCUUAACUUGGGAAUUGCAUUGGUGACUGCACGGCUAGAGUGUGUCAGAGGGGGGUAGAAUUCCACGUGUAGCAGUGAAAUGCGUAGAGAUGUGGAGGAAUACCGAUGGCGAAGGCAGCCCCCUGGGAUAACACUGACGCUCAUGCACGAAAGCGUGGGGAGCAAACAGGAUUAGAUACCCUGGUAGUCCACGCCCUAAACGAUGUCAACUAGUUGUUGGGGAUUCAUUUCCUUAGUAACGUAGCUAACGCGUGAAGUUGACCGCCUGGGGAGUACGGUCGCAAGAUUAAAACUCAAAGGAAUUGACGGGGACCCGCACAAGCGGUGGAUGAUGUGGAUUAAUUCGAUGCAACGCGAAAAACCUUACCUACCCUUGACAUGCCACUAACGAAGCAGAGAUGCAUUAGGUGCUCGAAAGAGAAAGUGGACACAGGUGCUGCAUGGCUGUCGUCAGCUCGUGUCGUGAGAUGCUGGGUUAAGUCCCGCAACGAGCGCAACCCUUGUCUCUAGUUGCUACGAAAGGGCACUCUAGAGAGACUGCCGGUGACAAACCGGAGGAAGGUGGGGAUGACGUCAAGUCCUCAUGGCCCUUAUGGGUAGGGCUUCACACGUCAUACAAUGGUGCAUACAGAGGGUUGCCAAGCCGCGAGGUGGAGCUAAUCCCAGAAAAUGCAUCGUAGUCCGGAUCGUAGUCUGCAACUCGA